rnacentral:rRNA from 1 species
ACGCUAGCGGCAGGCCUAAUACAUGCAAGUCGAACGAUACUCUUUAGCUUGCUAGAGAGGAAAGUGGCGCACGGGUGCGUAACGCGUAUGCAACCUACCUUAAUCAGGGGGAUAGCCCGAAGAAAUUCGGAUUAACACCGCAUAAAAUCACAGUACAGCAUUGUACAAUGAUCAAAUAUUUAUAGGAUUAAGAUGGGCAUGCGUGACAUUAGUUAGUUGGCGGGGUAACGGCCCACCAAGACCACGAUGUCUAGGGGAUCUGAGAGGAUGACCCCCCACACUGGUACUGAGACACGGACCAGACUCCUACGGGAGGCAGCAGUAAGGAAUAUUGGUCAAUGGAGGCAACUCUGAACCAGCCAUGCCGCGUGCAGGAAGACAGCCCUCUGGGUCGUAAACUGCUUUUAUUCGGGAAUAAACCUACUUACGUGUAAGUAGCUGAAUGUACCGAAGGAAUAAGGAUCGGCUAACUCCGUGCCAGCAGCCGCGGUAAUACGGAGGAUCCAAGCGUUAUCCGGAUUUAUUGGGUUUAAAGGGUGCGUAGGCGGCUUUUUAAGUCAGGGGUGAAAGACGGUGGCUCAACCAUCGCAGUGCCCUUGAUACUGAAGAGCUUGAAUGAACUAGAGGUAGGCGGAAUGUGACAAGUAGCGGUGAAAUGCAUAGAUAUGUCACAGAACACCGAUUGCGAAGGCAGCUUACUAUGGUUAAAUUGACUCUGAGGCACGAAAGCGUGGGGAUCAAAC